UACGUAGGGUGCAAGCGUUUGUCCGGAAUUAUUGGGCGUAAAGAGCUCGUAGGCGGUUUGUCGCGUCUGCUGUGAAACCCGAGGCUCAACCUCGGGCCUGCAGUGGGUACGGGCAGACUAGAGUGGCGGUAGGGGAGACUGGAAUUCCGUGGGUGUAGCGGUGAAAUGCGACAGAUAGUCAGGAGGAACACCGGUGGCGAAGGCGGGUCUCUGGGGCCGAGUACU
rnacentral:rRNA from 1 species